rnacentral:rRNA from 1 species
AAAACGACUCUCGGCAACGGAUAUCUCGGCUCUCGCAUCGAUGAAGAACGUAGCGAACUGCGAUACUUGGUGUGAAUUGCAGGAUCCCGUGAACCAUCGAGUCUUUGAACGCAAGUUGCGCCCGGAGCCAUUAGGCCGAGGGCACGUCUGCCUGGGCGUCACGC